UACAGAGGUCUCAAGCGUUGUUCGGAUUCAUUGGGCGUAAAGGGUGUGUAGGUGGCGCGCUAAGUCGGGUGUGAAAUUUCGGAGCUUAACUCCGAAACUGCAUUCGAUACUGCGGUGCUUGAGGACUGGAGAGGAGACUGGAAUUCAUGGUGUAGCAGUGAAAUGCGUAGAGAUCAUGAGGAAGACCAGUGGCGAAGGCGGGUCUCUGGACAGUUCCUGACACUGAGACACGAAGGCCAGGGGAGCAAACGGGAUUAGAUACUCUAG
rnacentral:rRNA from 1 species